rnacentral:rRNA from 1 species
AGGAGAGUUUGAUCCUGGCUCAGGAUGAACGCUAGCGGCAGGCUUAACACAUGCAAGUCGAGGGGCAGCGAGUUGGUAGCAAUACCGAUGUCGGCGACCGGCGCACGGGUGAGUAACGCGUAUGCAACCUUUCCCAGACAGGGGGAUAGCCCAGGGAAACUUGGAUUAAUACCCCGUAGGCACAGGGAUGGCAUCGUCCUUGUGUUAAAGUUCCGGCGGUCUGGGGUGGGCAUGCGUGCCAUUAGCUUGUUGGCGGGGUAACGGCCCACCAAGGCGACGAUGGCUACGGGGUCUAAAAGGAUGGUCCCGCACAUUGGAACUGAGACACGGUCCAAACUCCUACGGGAGGCAGCAGUGAGGAAUAUUGGUCAAUGGGGGGAACCCUGAACCAGCCAUGCCGCGUGGAGGAAGACGGCCCUACGGGUUGUAAACUCCUUUAGCACGGGAAUAAAGGCCGCCACGCGUGGCGGGUUGAAGGUACCGUGAGAAUAAGCAUCGGCUAACUCCGUGCCAGCAGCCGCGGUAAUACGGAGGAUGCAGGCGUUAUCCGGAUUUAUUAGGUUUAAAGGGUGCGUAGGCGGCCGGGUAAGUCAGCGUUGAAAGUCUGCGGCUCAACCGUAGAACUGGCAUUGAUACUGGCAGCCUAGAGUACAGACGGCGCCGGCGGAAUGUGUCAUGUAGCGGUGAAAUGCUUAGAUAUGCCACAGAACACCGAUCGCGAAGGCAGCUGGCGAGGCUGGAACUGACGCUCAGGCACGAAAGCGUGGGGAUCAAACAGGAUUAGAUACCCUGGUAGUCCCCU